UAGACAGAUGCCCGCUGGUUUGGGCGCUUAGCUGUUAACUAAGAUUUCGCAGGAUCGAAACCUGCCUGUCUAG
rnacentral:tRNA from 1 species